rnacentral:rRNA from 1 species
GCGGCUACUGCUAUCAGGUUUCGACUAAGCCAUGCGAGUCAAGGGGUCGUAAGACACCGGCGUACUGCUCAGUAACACGCGGACAAUCUACCCCCAGGUGGAGGAUAACCUCGGGAAACUGAGGCUAAUACCCCAUAGUUGUCAUGUGCUGGAAUGCUUUGACGAUGAAAGAAUUUCGCCUGAGGAUGAGUCUGCGGCCUAUCAGGUAGUAUGUGGUGUAAAGGACCACAUAGCCUAAGACGGGUACGGGCCUUGAAAGAGGGAGCCCGGAGAUGGACUCUGAGACACUAGUCCAGGCCCUACGGGGCGCAGCAGGCGCGAAAACUGUGCAAUGCGCGCAAGCGCGACACGGGAAGCCUGAGUGCCUUAACUAUGUUAAGGCUUUUCUUGAUCCUAAAAAGCUCAAGGAAUAAGAGCUGGGUAAGACGGGUGCCAGCCGCCGCGGUAACACCCGCGGCUCGAGUGGUAGUCACUUUUAUUGAGCCUAAAGCGUUUGUAGCCGGAUUUGUAAAUCUCUAGGAAAAUACUUCUGCUUAACUGAAGAAAUUUUGGAGAGACUGCAAAUCUAGGGACCGGGUGAGGUUGAAUGUACUUCUGGGGUAGGGGUAAAAUCCUGUAAUCCUGGAAGGACGACCGGUGGCGAAGGCGUUCAACUAGAACGGAUCCGACGGUGAGGAACGAAGGCUAGGGGAGCAAACCGGAUUAGAUACCCGGGUAGUCCUAGCUGUAAACACUGCCCACUUGGUGUUGCAUCUCCGGUAAGGGGGUGCAGUGCCGUAGCGAAGGUGUUAAAUGGGCCGCUUGGGGAGUAUGGUCGCAAGGCUGAAACUUAA